GAGGUGUUUCAUAGGCGCUACAGUGGAAGUGACGUGGCGCCGUGGAAACAUCUACC
rnacentral:pre_miRNA from 1 species